rnacentral:rRNA from 1 species
GGGGAAUUUUACACAAUGGGGGAAACCCUGAUGUAGCAACGCCGCGUGGAGGAUGACGGAUCUAGGUCUGUAAACUCCUUUUCUAAGGGAAGAAAUUUGACGGUACCUUAUGAAUAAGCACCGGCUAACUCCGUGCCAGCAGCCGCGGUAAUACGGGGGGUGCAAGCGUUACUCGGAAUCACUGGGCGUAAAGGGAGCGUAGGCGUUUUAUUAAGUCUUGAGCGAAAGCUCGCAGCUCAACUGCGGAACUGCUCAGGAAACUGAUAGAAUUGAGUAUGGAAGAGGUAUGUGGAAUUUCCGGUGUAGGGGUAAAAUCCGUAGAUAUCGGAAGGAAUACCAGAAGCGAAGGCGACCUACUGGGACAUUACUGACGCUGAGGCUCGAAAGCGUGGGGAGCAAACA